rnacentral:lncRNA from 8 species
AUGCUGACCAUCCAGCUCAGGCAGAGUUUGGGCAUGUGUCUCACACGAGGAGUCCCCAGGGGUUGCACUGAGCCCCCACCAGCUUCUGUGGAUCCCAUGGAAACAGAAAGAUGGCUCCAAGGGUUCCAGAGAAUGGAGAGAGCCAUGCACAUAUGUGACAGCCAGAACACUGGUUACAUAGACCAGGACAAAGCCAGACGUCUGAUUCAGAACUACAACCACAUGUUCAACCUGAACCUGAGUCCCCUGGGGAUCAGUGAGGUCACCCAUGGUCAUGGAGGGAGAAGACAGGGCAAUGUCCACCUGGACACAGCCCUACAGUACCUAAAGGAACUGUGAUGAAGGUGUUUGGUGAGGACUGUUUUAUGUAUGUAAGUAAAUAUUGGCAUUAUCUUUGUAGUAGCUACUAUGUAAUGUGAGUCUUGUUUAGAAAGCAACAUUUGGGCAGAUAAGGCUUAUUACAUGUAAAAUAUUUUACAAAUAAAAAUGUAAUGAUAAUGCUGUAAAACACUAUCUUAAAUUUAAACCAUUAACUUAGUUAAUACCAUUGGUGUUUAAUAUGAGGGUUUCAGCAUGAAAUGUAUUUUAUGUUUUUGUUUUACAAUGUUAAUAUGUUUUGAUGUUAAACUGGUGGCAGUUGUGAAAAAGUAAAUAGUUGGAAGAGUUGCAGAGUUAAUUGAAAAUAAUUCCAUUGUUGAUUAGAUGCUUUUUUCCCCCCUUAUGAUUCAUUAUGAUAUGAUCAGAGUGAGCAGAGACAGACCCUCCUUCAACCCUGUCCACACCUAAAUAGAAGAGGCUAUUUCAGCCACUCAUGGAGGACAAAGCUGAUUUUAAAAUAAAUAUUUGUUUUGAAAAACCAAUUUGUUUCAGCAUGUAGCCUUCAUCUGGAUUUUAUAGACAGAAGAGGUCAUUUGGGACAUACUGUAGAACAAAAGGGGCUUUUCGUCAACACCUCCUAUGGCUCUCCCCCAGUCAGGCUCCACAGCAGGUCAGGGGCUACCAGGACAGUCAGUAUAGCCAGGGCUAACAGCCACAGCAUCAGUCUCACCAGAUUCAGCACACACCACUGGGCCCACCGACGCAUUGUAUCUGGAUAGAAUAGGUCCUAAGGGUGGUCAAUAUAGUGGCAUCAAUACAAUGAUCCUAUUGAAUUAUUCUGAUUCUAUGUGGAAUUCUCUGUGCAUCAAUGUCAGUAUAAUUUGGAGUGAAAACAGAGAAAAUGAAGGUGUUAUGAUUAGUGUCUUAUCUUUUGUCCACUCACCUUGCAAUCUUGACAUAAAACUGUGCCUGAUGUUUAUGUUGUUGUGAUUUUCCAAACAUUGUGCUCUAGAAUUCAGAGGUGAUUUAGAACAGGUCAGCGGCACUUCCAGUUAUGAGAUGGGAAAAUAACAAUUAUGAAAGCUGUACAAUUUGUAUGGAUUAACGCAAAGACAUUUAAAACCUAGGCUAGCCGACUGCUUGAAAUCAUACUAUCUUUCGGGGAAGGUGUAUUGCUGUUAAGAAUGUCAAUAAACCACUCCCAUGAAGCGAUGGACAACAAGGAUGCAUUUGAUUGUUUCAUUUCUGUGAAACCGAAAGUAAAAUAUCGACUUGAGGAGAGCAACUGAAAAACUGUUUGGUAAGUUUUAUUCUACAAUUACGUUAAGUAUUCGUACCUGUUGUAUCUUGUUUUAUAUGUUGCAGCUUUUAAAUAUUUAGUUAUAACUUUAAUAAAUAGCAAACGAAGAAUGAGCCAGUGCUCGAGAGCCUAUGCCUGUAAAGUUGUCUGCCUAGUGACGACAGGUAGCUCAGUAAACACCUGAGUUUUGAACUUCAUUGAACAUAACCUCAUUAUUGUACUACAGUAGCCGUAAAUGCCUGAGGUUUGAACAUCAUUGAACAUAACUACGGUGUUGUACUACAACAGAUAUUCAUUGUUGAAGUAUCCAGCAGCAAAGACAGAUGAUGGGGAAAGAGAACCAACAUAGACCAUUAACCAUGAGCUAUAGAGACGCCCUUCAAACGCAAUCUAACACAGGUGAGCUUUCUUUUUUAAAUGAGUUAGGGUACUGUAUUUUGUAAGGCCAGUAUAUGACAACCCAACCUUUUUGCAUUGGGGAGGGUUGUGAGUUUUUUAUUGGGCACAGGGAAGGGAAGUGCGUUUUUCCCUGGUUUACAUUCACUCUUUUGCAGAUUUUACUAUAUAAUGUCUUCCAUCCUAGCCAACUUUCCAUGUCUGCUUGCAUGCGCCUCCACUAUAUCAAGGUGUUUUGGUAUUUCCCAUAUGCGCUAUGGUUUUCUGCUCUCUAACUUUUAUUAUAAACUGGGUAGUUCGAGCCCUGAAUGCUGAUUGCCUGACAGCGGGGGUAUAUCAUACUGACAAAACAUUUAUUUUUACUGCUUAAAUUACGUUGGUAACUAGUUUAUAAUAGCAAUAAGGCACCUCAGGGGUUUGUGGUAUAUGGCCAAUGUUGUUAUCCGCGAUGCUUCGUGCAUAAGAACAGCCCUUAGCCGUGGUAUAUUGCUUAUUGCUUAACUAUACCACAGGUCAAUAUAGUCUACCAGUCUAACCGUUUACCCUGCCCUUUAUCCACCAUUCAUCGUGACAAAGUGGUAAGGUUGAUCGUUUCUCCAGAUCUGCAGAAGGCUAGCUACUAGCAGUCAUGCAACACAUAAAAGCAAGCUGCAUAAAUGUUCAAUAUGAAUCCACUUGAACAAAUAGGAAUAGCUAAUAGGCAGUGGAGGCUAAGUGCAUCAUUGCGCAUGAAAGAACAGUGAAGAAAUGAGACAAGCAGCUCAAAAGGUUCCCCUAAUGAUCUUGUUUAGGGACAAUACAAUUAUCCAGUGGCGUGUAUACUUGGAUGCCAAGAAAACAUUUACCAAGAACAAAAUAUAUAUACCUUUUUUUUUGUAUCUUUCAUCUCUCUAUGUUUCAUAUAUUUCCUUCAAUUCGCAAGAGGCUGAAUGUAUUUCACUGGAGAAAGCAUCCAAUCGAAAGAAAAAGCACCUCUCUGUCUUAUUAUGUGAAGCACAUCUAUCUGAUGCUGUCUGGUCAAAAUUAAUAUGACAUUGUUUCCGCCCGUUGCAUUGAAUGCAAUAGAAGCCAGCGGACAUUUGGCCUCCCUUGAUAAAAAAAAAAGCUAAACUGAGUGAGCUCAACUGUGAAUGGUCCUGUCGCAAAAAAAAAGUGUCAAGCUUGCUAAAAUCGUCCCUUUCUUAAAUUAGGCAUAGAUGGAGAUAGGGAUUUGGACUUGUGGUUAUACUUAAUUCUCCGUACUGGCCAAUGAUUAUAACAGCGAUUCUGAUUCAACCAUAAAUUCAUACAUUGUGUCCCUGGCCUGAGAGGAUGGAAGUUCAACAUGUAGCUAAAUGUAGCUAGCUGUCAACUAGCUGGUAGCCUAGGACAACAAAAACGAAAAGCAUGUAGAGUCAUAGACUGUUUGAGUAACAUGAAGGAGAGGAGGAUGACAUUGGCGUUUCUCUUUUUCUACUUACACACACACAUAAAUUAGUACCGUGGACAGCCGCAUGAUAGUUUGCUGACGUUGAUUGGACUAAAUUGUUUUUGGCAUCUUUGUUUUCACUGUAUUAGAUUAAACAUAGGUGAUUUGAUGAUGUUGAAAUGUUGAAGUUGAAAUGGUUCUGGAAUAGUGGAGGCAGCUCCUGUUUUCUUUGCGACUUGUAGUAACUCUUCUGUGUUCUAAAUCAAUAGUUGUUUAGUAGUCCGAAAAAGUCGGAAAUAUUAACUUCAUUGGCCAUGUAAAUAAAUGUAUGUUACAUGCAAUAUGCUUUGUGGACUCCACCACUUAUUGUCUCGGGCCUUAGGCCUACAGUGCAUUCGGAAAGUAUUCAAACCCCUUCCCCUUUUCCACAUUUUGUUACGUUACAGCCUUAUUCUAAAAUUGAUUAAAUCAUUUUUUCCCUCAUCAAUCUACACACAGUACCCCAUAAUGACAAAGCAAAAACAGGUUUUUAGACAUUUUUGCACAUUACAAAACAGAAAUACUUUAUUUACAUAACUAUUCAGACCCUUUGCUAUAAGACUCAAAAUUGAGCUCAGGUGCAUCCUGUUUGCAUUGAUCAUCCUUGAGAUGUUUCUACAACUUGACUGGAGUCCACCUGUGGUAAAUUCAAUUGAUUGGACAUGAUUUGGAAAGGCACACGCCUGUCUAUAUAGGGUCCCACAAUUGACAGUGCAUGUCAGAGCAAAAACCAAGCCAUGAGGUCGAUGGAUUUGUCUGUAGAGCUCCGAGACAGGAUUGUGUCGAGUCACAGAU